rnacentral:tRNA from 1 species
AGGUGUGUGGCUCAGUGGGUAGAGUACUCGCCUUGCAUGCAUGAAGUCCUGGGUUCAGUUUCCAGUACCUCCU